rnacentral:rRNA from 1 species
AUCAGUGUCAGUCAGGCCUACCAUGCAGUCGAAUCGGUAACAGGAAGCAGCUUGCUGCUUUGUCUGACGAGUGGCGGACGGGUGAGUAAUGUCUGGGAAACUGCCUGAUGGAGGGGGAUAACUACUGGAAACGGUAGCUAAUACCGCAUAACGUCGCAAGACCAAAGUGGGGGACCUUCGGGCCUCAUGCCAUCAGAUGUGCCCAGAUGGGAUUAGCUAGUAGGUGGGGUAACGGCUCACCUAGGCGACGAUCCCUAGCUGGUCUGAGAGGAUGACCAGCCACACUGGAACUGAGACACGGUCCAGACUCCUACGGGAGGCAGCAGUGGGGAAUAUUGCACAAUGGGCGCAAGCCUGAUGCAGCCAUGCCGCGUGUAUGAAGAAGGCCUUCGGGUUGUAAAGUACUUUCAGCGAGGAGGAAGGGGUUAAGGUUAAUAACCUUGGUCAUUGACGUUACUCGCAGAAGAAGCACCGGCUAACUCCGUGCCAGCAGCCGCGGUAAUACGGAGGGUGCAAGCGUUAAUCGGAAUUACUGGGCGUAAAGCGCACGCAGGCGGUCUGUCAAGUCGGAUGUGAAAUCCCCGGGCUCAACCUGGGAACUGCAUUCGAAACUGGCAGGCUUGAGUCUCGUAGAGGGGGGGGUAGAAUUCCAAGGUGUAGGCGGUGAAAUGCGUAAAAGAUUCUGGAGGAAUUACUGGUUGGCGAAGGCGGCCCUCUUGAACGAAAGAACUGAACGCUUCAGGUUGCGAAGCGUGGGGGAGCAAAACAGGAAUUAAAAUACCUGCUAGUUCCACGCCGUAACGAAUGUUCGACUUUGAGUUUGUGCCAUUGGAGGCGUGCUUCGGGAACUAACGCGUUAAGUCGAAUCCCCG